AUUGAACGCUGGCGGCGUGCCUAACACAUGCAAGUCGAGCGGUAACAGGUGUAGCAAUACAUGCUGACGAGCGGCGAACGGGUGAGUAAUGCUUUGGAAUCUUCCCAGUAGUGGGGAAUAACCAGUCGAAAGAUUGGCUAAUACCGCAUACGUCUGUAAAGGGAAAGCGGGGGCUCGUAAGACCUCGCGCUAUUGGAUGAGCCAAAGUCGGAUUAGCUAGUUGGUGGGGUAAUGGCCUACCAAGGCGACAAUCCGUAGCUGGUCUGAGAGGACGACCAGCCACACCGGAACUGAGACACGGUCCGGACUCCUACGGGAGGCAGCAGUGGGGAAUAUUGGACAAUGGGGGAAACCCUGAUCCAGCGACGCCGCGUGUGUGAAGAAGGCCUGCGGGUUGUAAAGCACUUUUAGUGGGGACAAAAAGCUACGGAUUAAUACUCUGUGGUCUUGAUUUAACCCAAAGAAAAAGCACCGGCUAACUCUGUGCCAGCAGCCGCGGUAAUACAGAGGGUGCGAGCGUUAAUCGGAAUUACUGGGCGUAAAGCGCGCGUAGACGGUUUUGUAAGUCAGAUGUGAAAUCCCUGGGCUCAACCUGGGAACUGCAUUUGAAACUGCA
rnacentral:rRNA from 1 species